rnacentral:rRNA from 1 species
UACAGAGGGUGCAAGCGUUAAUCGGAAUUACUGGGCGUAGAGCGCGCGUAGGUGGUUUGUUAAGUUGGAUGUGAAAUCCCCGGGCUCAACCUGGGAACUGCAUUCAAAACUGACAAGCUAGAGUAUGGUAGAGGGUGGUGGAAUUUCCUGUGUAGCGGUGAAAUGCGUAGAUAUAGGAAGGAACACCAGUGGCGAAGGCGACCACCUGGACUGAUACUGACACUGAGGUGCGAAAGCGUGGGGAGCAAACAGG